ensembl:processed_transcript Gm20033 predicted gene, 20033
GCGGCCGCUCGCGGGGUGCGCCGGGGGCUCCGAUGGGAACCGAGCGCGGGGGACCCGGGACCACACAGAGACCACUGAGCUUAGAAGAAGCUGAGUCUCCUUGUGUCUUAUCACAGCUGUAAAGAAUACCUCCCACAAACAAUGCAGGUGGCUUAAAACAAAGGACAUAGGCUCUUCUGCAGUUCCGGGGACUAUUGAAGUCUGAAGGCAUACCCUUGGCAACUGGACAGGGUAACCCCGUAUACGGCUUCUAAAGGAAGAGUAAUGAGGACCAGGAGCGUUCCAAAGGAGAUGAGGAACCAUCUGUUGCUAAGGAAGAGUCACAACCUUUGCAAUCUGUUGAGCCAAGUUCGAAUCCCAGCACUGCCUCCUACUAAAGUGGAUGCUAUGGUUAGUGGGGAGUUCAGAGACAGAAUGUGUAUAGAAGACCACUAGUCCUGAUCAUGUAGUUUAGUGUGCCAUACAGACAUUUUAAAAGGCAAAGUUAAGUGGAAUUGCAGGCUGCCCUCAUAAAUUUCAUGGAAAGGCCAAGGAGGAACUACUUAACAUCUUCUGGCUGACAAGAGCUCACGGUGAUGAGAAUGCUUUUUCUGUGAUCCACUACGUCCUACAAACGUGAGAUUCAGAGCUAGCAAGAGGGCUGACAACCUGAGUUCAAGCCCUGGGACUCACAUGGUGGAAAGAGAGAGCGAACUUCUGGUACCUAUCUUCUGAGAUCCCCCGUGCAUGCUGAGACACAGCCCUCUCCCCUUUCCCCAGAUAAUAAUUGAGAUAUUAAAAAUUUAAAAAAGCAACA